rnacentral:rRNA from 1 species
AACGAACGCUGGCGGCAGGCUUAACACAUGCAAGUCGAACGCCCCGCAAGGGGAGUGGCGCACGGGUGAGUACCGCGUGGAUAUCUGCCUUUUGGUUCGGAAUAACCCCGGGAAACUGGGGCUAAUACCGGAUGGUUCCUACGGGAUAAAGCUUUAUCGCCAAAAGAUGAGUCCGCGUACGAUUAGCUAGUUGGUGAGGUAAUGGCUCACCAAGGCGACGAUCGUUAGCUGGUCUGAGAGGACGAUCAGCCACACUGGGACUGAGACACGGCCCAGACUCCUACGGGAGGCAGCAGUGGGGAAUAUUGGACAAUGGGGGCAACCCUGAUCCAGCCAUGCCGCGUGAGUGAUGAAGGCCUUCGGGUUGUAAAGCUCUUUUGGCGGGGACGAUGAUGACGGUACCCGCAGAAUAAGCCCCGGCUAACUUCGUG